rnacentral:rRNA from 1 species
UACGUAGGUGACAAGCGUUAUCCGGAAUAACUGGGCGUAAAGGGAGUGUAGGUGGCGAUGCAAGUCUUGUGUGAAAUCCCUCGGCUUAACUGAGGAACUGCACAAGAAACUGUAUUGCUAGAGUGCGAGAGAGGCAAGUGGAAUUCCUAGUGUAGCGGUAGAAUGCGUAGAGAUUAGGAGGAACACCAGAGGCGAAGGCGACUUGCUGGCUCGCGACUGACACUGAGACUCGAAAGCGUGGGGAGCAAAC